CUUCUAUUAUAACUAGACUGCGGAUGUUCGAUGCGUUGUGAAGCAACGGCUGGGGGCGGGACAUGGGACGAUUUUGGGGCGGAAGAAGGAAGUAGAGCGCCUUUUUCCAUGUAUCUCUAUGGUGGACUUGAAGCCAUGUAGUUCCUAGGCAAUUCUUGCCGAGUCGGCCCUGUUUCGUUAAAACGGUAGUCUCCCCUCCCUCCUAAACAACCCAGAUAUUUUUUUCGGGCUGACCCUUUAUUUAAGAAAGCUAUUAAAAUAGUUUAAAUGACCAAUGAGCAUGGCUAUUUGGGUUGAUUGGCAGUUGCCAUUCUUUAGAAUUAUUGUUUUGAUUGACAGGCAGGCCGUUGUCAAGGAGAAGGGCGAGUCUCGCGGCGUCUCCAGGGGAAGCCCCCUCUCUCCCUGCUGCAUUACUUUCAACCAGCUCUGCUUUCAACAGCUUCAUCACUGCGAUGGAUUAUUUAAUUUUGGUACACUUUCCCCACAAAUAUGCUUUGUUGUACUUUUGGAUGUACUUCUCCGUAUUCUGUAAGGACCUCUGCGGUUUUGGCAAAACAACAAACCACACUUCACCUGGAAAACACAGCCAGGACUCACUGUCAGAUGUCUGAAAAUGUACAGUACACGCCAGCAGGUCUCACCAUAGUCAACAUCAUUAAGGAUUUGACUCUCUGACCUGAGAAGAGGCCCCAUAAACACACCUGACAAGGACCAGCCACUGUUGCCAGUGCACAACUGAGGACCUGACCAGCCUGCUGCCAUCUAUGAUACUAUAUAGUACCCGCUGAAGAUGUGCACAGUACGCUGCUGCCUGCAUCCUACCACCACAGAGGAUCCGAUGUGCAGAACCAGCUUCAAAAGCCAUUGCAAUUAUGAAACACAGUUAAUAAAUGCUUAUAUACAGCAGCCCGCACAUUUUGUUUAAUUUGUUAUAUUGGUUAACCACACUAUUGUUACAACACAAUGCAGGUGGUACAUGCAUUGGCAGGUAUCAAUAAAAAGAAAUGUAUGGAGCAUAAUCAUAUUGGGAUAGAGCAGUGGUUCCUAACCUAUGGGUCAGGACCCAACUUAUGGGUCGCCAAAGAUCCACAGUGGGUCGCGAAGCCCUCUUGAUUUUAAGGGGUUUCGUUUUAAUACCAUAUAGCCCAUGUUGAAUAUAUGACAAAAAAGCUUUUAAACUGAUAUAUGCAUAGAGGCAACAAAAUGUAAGCGACACAUUAAACAGUCAUUCUAUAUUUGACUGAAGACAAAUUGAGGAAUACAAUUUUCUAAUGAGUUUCCGCAGGACUCCCUCUCGCCUGGGACUCCCUCUCGCG